GCCCGGAGGGGACCGGGGGCUGCAUAGCUACGCCCCAUCCCCGCGGCCACGCCCGCCGUCCCGUCCCGCCGCCUCGCACCCCGUGCAGGGUAACGAGGGGAGUGGGCGCACCUGGCACCGGCACCGGUCGGGACGCAUACUCACCCGGGGCCUGACACCAACCGCGUCCCACAGCCACCUAGGGACCGGCACCAGCGACACCCGCACCCAUUCGGUGCUUGGCACCACCGGGACCCAGCCUCGCUCAGAACUUGACAUUGGCCCGGCGGGCACCCACCCGUGCUCCAUCCAACCUUGGCCACAUCCGUGAGGUUUACCUCAAGGCUCACGCCGACCACGAGGAGGAGCCGGUGACACAACUCAGGAGCGAAGUCUGGCACAUCCAGGAAGCUGGGAGUGCCCUCAAAAAACUCCAUGAAGAUUUGAGCACCAAACUCCAGACCCAGACGGAAUUUCUGGAAUUCUGGGAUUUUCGGGAAUUCCAGGAGAGCUCUGAGAUUCCAGGUGGUGCUGGAGAAGCGGAACCAGAGCUGCUCCUGCCAGGGAAAUUCCCAGGAUAAUCCGGAGGACCCCAAGGCCCUGCGGCUCCUGUGGAGGCUCCAGGAGGCGGAAAAGUGGCACCAGCUGGAGCGGAGCAGCCUCGAGAAUCUGGAGAUGCAUGACCAGAUUGAGCACCUGAUCGAGAAACAAGUGAGAGCCGGGGUGGGAGCAGCACCCGCGCGCGCUCCAAGUCAGAAUACGUCAGCAGCAAACGCGUCCCAUGCCCGAAGCCACUGCCCCUGAUCCGAGUGGUGGAAACCUGAAUUUUGGGGUCUGGGCCCAGCCGGAUCCUUCCCCUUCGGAAUGACCGGAAUUUCCAGCUGAACUCAGAGCCCUUCCCGAGGGAAGAGGUUUGUGAUCACCCCGGGCACGAUUCCAGGUCAGAAUCGGGAAUUUUUCCCCUUUUCCCAGUGAUUUUCUGGCUCUUGCCAUUCCCGUGUGGAUUCCAGAGGUUUUUCCCAACUGGAUUCCGGAUUUCACCUUUUUUUUGGGGGAAUUUCCAAAUCAAAAUCUUGGAUUCUGCUUUUUUCCUGAAGGAAGAUUCCAAAAAUCUGGGAGCCACCACAUCGUCGACCUCCAACACCACCCUUGGACUUGGAAAAUGCUCUCCCAACCCUAAAAAUUCCAUGUCUUUCCUGCUGAAUCCUGUUUUUCCCACGUAAUUCCCUGCUUUUCCCGCAAAAUUCCAUGCUAUCCCCCCAAAUGAUUAUUGUUGAAAUUCCCACAAUUUUGGGAUUUUAUUCCCUGUAUUUAUUUCUGUAAAUUAUCGGAGUCUCCAGGUGAGGUGGGGCACAGGCCGGAAUUCUUGGGAAUUUUGGCCCAGGACUGCCCCAAUCCCAUGUUUGACCCCAGAGGCUCCAACCAGGAUCCCUUGGGAUUCCCUUGGAAUUUUUAAAUUCCUGGUUUUCGUAUUAAAGAUAAAAAAUUCUGUCUGCUUUAAAUCCCAGAAGUUGUGGUUGCUUGGAAAAGACUGGGAAUUUUGGGGGGAAGGUGGGGGCUUUUUACUGGGUUUUUUGGCUUUUUUGAUUUUUCCGUGUCCUGAUUCCAUGGGAAGGGUGAAACUUUGGGAUUGGGAUUUUCCCAGUUUUCAAAACCAGCGUGGGGUUCAGGUUGGGAUUUUGGGGAUUUUUCCAGGGCAUUUCUUUUUGGCUUUUGGGGUUUUUGCGGGUCCUGAUUCCAUAGGAAUGGGGUAACUUUGGGAUUGAGAUUAGGGUUUUCUGGGUUCCCAAAACCUGGGGCACUCGGGGUGGGAUUUGAGAGGUCUCAGAUUCACCUCCAGAUCCCAAGAAUUCCUCUUCAAAAGGUCUGGAGCCCCAGGAUCCAUGGAUUUACAGGGAGUGGGGCCUGGGGACACCCAAGACUCUCAGGAAUGACCAAGAGGGGACCCCCAGGACAACUGGGAAUGGUCAAAGGAUUACUGGAAAUGACCAAGAGAGGAAAAGAUGAAAAAAGGAGAGAGAAAUGAAAAUAAAAAGAAAAAUACAGAAGAAAAAAAGAGAAAAAGAGAGGGGAUAAAUGAAAGAGAGAGAGAAAGAGAAAAAGAGAAAAAGAAAGGGAAAAAGACAGGAAAAAUGAGAGAGAUGAAAAAUGAGGAAGUUACAGAAAAGAAAAAAAAAAGGAAAAAGAGGGAAUUUUGGGGGUGAUUUUAGGGAGGAAUUGGGUGAUUUUGGGAAUUUCUUUGGGGAUUUUUGGGUCCCCCUGGGCCCCCCAGGGAUUCCAGGACCUUUAAGGGGAUUUAGGGUGAUUUUAGGGGAUUUAGGGGUGAUCUGGGGUGAUUUGGGGCAGAUUUUCAGGGGAUUUUGGGUCAUUUUUUAACCCACUUUUAACCCAUUUUUAUCCCUAUUUUAACUCCUUUUACUCCCUAUUUUUAUCCCUACACAUUUGCCCAAUUUCCCCUUUUUAUCCCUAUUUUUACUCCUUUGAAACCAUAUUUUAACCCAUUUUAUCCCAAAUUUUAACCCUUUAACCCCAUUUUUAUCCAAAUCCCCAGCUGGGUUUGCUUUUUUCCCCCCCCGGCUGGGUUUUUUUUUUCCUCGGACCCAGUCAGUCUGCGAGGCGAGUUCAUCACCAAAGUUUGGGUGCAGAGCGGCCAGGGACCGGGGUUUUCGUCAGGCAGGAGGAUUUUUUUAGAGGCUCCGGGAACCACGUUCCCGAGGACCAAUGAUUGCUGGGGUGUAAUUUAGCAGUUGUGAUGGGAGGGAUGGUGAGUUCGUGUGUAAUCUGAAGGGGUUGUUAAUGGUAGAUGGGUGUUGUUUUCUGUGUGCUUUUGUUGUUUUGGGUUUCCUGUAACAAUAAAUCCACAUGUAAUGAAAAUAGAAAAAGGUUAUCAUCUUGUGUUAA